UACGAAGGGGGCUAGCGUUGUUCGGAAUUACUGGGCGUAAAGCGCGCGCAGGCGGUCUUCCAAGUCAGUGGUGAAAGCCUGGAGCUCAACUCCAGAACUGCCAUUGAAACUGUUAGACUUGAGUACGAGAGAGGUGAGUGGAAUUCCCAGUGUAGAGGUGAAAUUCGUAGAUAUUGGGAAGAACACUAGUGGUGAAGGUGGUUCACUGGUUCGUAACUGAUGCUCAGGCGCGACAGCGUGGGGAUCAAAC
rnacentral:rRNA from 1 species